rnacentral:rRNA from 1 species
UGGGGAAUAUUGCACAAUGGGCGCAAGCCUGAUGCAGCCAUGCCGCGUGUGUGAAGAAGGCCUUCGGGUUGUAAAGCACUUUCAGCGAGGAGGAAGGUGGUGGACUUAAUACGUUCAUCAAUUGACGUUACUCGCAGAAGAAGCACCGGCUAACUCCGUGCCAGCAGCCGCGGUAAUACGGAGGGUGCAAGCGUUAAUCGGAAUUACUGGGCGUAAAGCGCACGCAGGCGGUUUGUUAAGUCAGAUGUGAAAUCCCCGGGCUCAACCUGGGAACUGCAUUUGAAACUGGCAAGCUAGAGUCUCGUAGAGGGGGGCUAGAAUUCCAGGUGUAGCGGUGAAAUGCGUAGAGAUCUGGAGGAAUACCGGUGGCGAAGGCGGCCCCCUGGACGAAGACUGACGCUCAGGUGCGAAAGCGUGGGGCAGCAAACAGAUUAGAUACCCUGGUAGUCCAGCGCUGUAAAC